rnacentral:rRNA from 1 species
GACGAACGCUGGCGGCGUGCUUAACACAUGCAAGUCGAACGGAAAGGCCCUGCUUUUGUGGGGUGCUCGAGUGGCGAACGGGUGAGUAACACGUGAGUAACCUGCCCUUGACUUUGGGAUAACUUCAGGAAACUGGGGCUAAUACCGGAUAGGAGCUCCUGCUGCAUGGUGGGGGUUGGAAAGUUUCGGCGGUUGGGGAUGGACUCGCGGCUUAUCAGCUUGUUGGUGGGGUAGUGGCUUACCAAGGCUUUGACGGGUAGCCGGCCUGAGAGGGUGACCGGCCACAUUGGGACUGGGAUACGGCCCAGACUCCUACGGGAGGCAGCAGUGGGGAAUAUUGCACAAUGGGCGGAAGCCGGAUGCAGCAACGCCGCGUGCGGGAUGACGGCCUUCGGGUUGUAAACCGUUUUCGCCUGUGACGAAGCGUGAGUGACGGUAAUGGGUAAAGAAGCACCGGCUAACUACGUG